rnacentral:ncRNA from 1 species
CAGAGUAAGCGAAUGUGCGUUAAGUGCCAGAUGGACGGGGAGUUGCCAUCCGGACGAAAAGUUUUGACUUGCGGUACAUUGGCUGCAUCCCGCCG